rnacentral:rRNA from 1 species
UACAGAGGUCUCAAGCGUUGUUCGGAUUUAUUGGGCGUAAAGGGCGCGUAGGCGGCGGGGUAAGUCGGGUGUGAAAUCUCAGGGCUCAACCCUGAAACUGCACUUGAUACUGCUCUGCUUGAGGACUGGAGAGGAGACUGGAAUUCACGGUGUAGCAGUGAAAUGCGUAGAUAUCGUGAGGAAGACCAGUUGCGAAGGCGGAUCUCUGGGCAGUUCCUGACACUGAGGCACGAAGGCCAGGGGAGCAAAC